rnacentral:rRNA from 1 species
UGGGGGAUAUUGCACAAUGGGGGGAACCCUGAUGCAGCGACGCCGCGUGGGUGAAGAAGCGCCUCGGCGCGUAAAGCCCUGUCAGCAGGGAAGAAAAUGACGGUACCUGAAGAAGAAGCCCCGGCUAACUACGUGCCAGCAGCCGCGGUAAUACGUAGGGGGCAAGCGUUAUCCGGAUUUACUGGGUGUAAAGGGGGCGCAGACGGCGAUGCAAGCCAGGAGUGAAAGCCCGGGGCCCAACCCCGGGACUGCUCUUGGAACUGCGUGGCUGGAGUGCAGGAGGGGCAGGCGGAAUUCCUGGUGUAGCGGUGAAAUGCGUAGAUAUCAGGAGGAACACCGGUGGCGAAGGCGGCCUGCUGGACUGCAACUGACGUUGAGGCCCGAAAGCGUGGGGAGCAAACA